CGGGGUGACGUUAGUGGAUCUAGCGGCGGACGGGUGAGUAACACGUGGGCAACCUGCCUGUAAGACUGGGAUAACUCGCGGAAACGCGAGCUAAUACCGGAUGAUACUUUGAACUGCAUGGUUCGAAGAUGAAAGGCGGCGCAAGCUGUCACUUACAGAUGGGCCCGCGGCGCAUUAGCUAGUUGGUGAGGUAACGGCUCACCAAGGCGACGAUGCGUAGCCGACCUGAGAGGGUGAUCGGCCACACUGGGACUGAGACACGGCCCAGACUCCUACGGGAGGCAGCAGUAGGGAAUCUUCCGCAAUGGACGAAAGUCUGACGGAGCAACGCCGCGUGAGUGAUGAAGGUUUUCGGAUCGUAAAACUCUGUUGUUAGGGAAGAACAAGUACAAGAGUAACUGCUUGUACCUUGACGGUACCUAACCAGAAAGCCCCGGCUAACUACGUGCCAGCAGCCGCGGUAAUACGUAGGGGGCAAGCGUUGUCCGGAAUUAUUGGGCGUAAAGCGCGCGCAGGCGGUCCUUUAAGUCUGAUGUGAAAGCCCACGGCUUAACCGUGGAGGGUCAUUGGAAACUGGAGGACUUGAGUACAGAAGAGGAGAGUGGAAUUCCACGUGUAGCGGUGAAAUGCGUAGAGAUGUGGAGGAACACCAGUGGCGAAGGCGACUCUCUGGUCUGUAACUGACGCUGAGGCGCGAAAGCGUGGGGAGCGAACAGGAUUAGAUACCCUGGUAGUCCACGCCGUA
rnacentral:rRNA from 1 species